UACGUGAGCAGCGAGCGUUGUUCGGAGUUACUGGGCGUAAAGCGUGCGUAGGCGGUUGUCUAAGUCUGGUGUGAAAUCUCCCGGCUCAACUGGGAGGGUGCGCCGGAAACUGGAUGACUGGAGUGCCGGAGAGGUAAGCGGAAUUCCUGGUGUAGCGGUGAAAUGCGUAGAGAUCAGGAGGAACACCUGUGGUGUAGACAGCUUACUGGACGGUGACUGACGCUGAGGCACGAAAGCGUGGGUAGCAAACAGG
rnacentral:rRNA from 1 species